GUGCAGGGCGCGACACGUGAUCGCUUUACCAAAAUCCAGUAUGGCGGAAUCUGUCAGUGAGUGAUUCUUUCGCUGGCGCACUCUCCUACGGAAAUUAAACACAUUGCGUUUUUCGGGGUGGAGUGACCGCCUCCCGCGGAAUCUAGGUCGACGUCGAGCGAAGCGAGGAAGAGGACGAAGAGGCGCGCGGGACUGGAUUACGCCGUCGGCCCGCCGAGCGUGGCGCGAGCGCGCUAGACUGGACCCCCCCUCCCCUCCCCGCUGGCCCCCUCACCCCCGACGCUCGGACGCCGCGCCGAACAGGCGCGCCACGCCCCCCCGUGACUGACCUCACCCACCGGGACUCUCGUCCUCCGUUCCUCCUCUCCCCCCCCCCCCCACUCCACCAGGACCCCGUCAGCACCCCCGCAGUGGCCGCUGAGCGACACCCCCACAACAAUGAGCUCCCACAACCACCCAGAUGGACUCCCCAGUACAGACCAGCCCUUGGAGCUUCUGAAGCCAUCUGGACUCAACCACAUUCCGUCUGGUAGGAGCCCAGUUUCCUCCUCCUCUCUCUCUCCCUCACUCCCUCUCUCUCUCUCCCUCUCUGUUUCUCCCUUCCCCUCUCUCGCAAACACUUGCUCUGGUCUGGUCUCUCAAACUCUUAUCUUUCUCCCCCCCCUUCAUCUGUCCGUCAGUGUGUCUCUCUUGUCUCUGUCCGUGUUUGUGCCUGUCUGUCAGUCUGUCUGUCUGUCUGUGGUCUGUCUCCGUCUCCGGGCUGCGCUGGUGCUGUGGGAAGCCGCAGCCACAGUGAUGGAUCAGCGGCGAUGCAGCGGUCUGCUUUGGGAGUCUGUAGGGGGAUAAUGAUUGUGUACAGUGUGGAAGCACUUAAUCAGGUCACAAUUAACCGCCAUUAUCGCUCUGUGUGACAGUGCGCAGCCGCUCGGACGGGCUGCCUAGAGUACGCCUGCGUCUGGAACCUGCUAGCUGCCCAGCCUUCCGUGUGUUCAGGUGUACUGUCACAGCUGGUGUGUGUGCGUGCGUGUGUGCAUGUGUGUGCGUGU